UUGGAGGGCAAGUCUGGUGCCAGCAGCCGCGGUAAUUCCAGCUCCAAUAGCGUAUAUUAAAGUUGUUGCAGUUAAAAAGCUCGUAGUUGAAUUUCGGGGUUAGUAGGUUGGUCGUGCCUCUGGUAUGUACUGGUCUCACUGAUUCCUCCUUCCUGAUGAGCCGUAAUGCCAUUAAUUUGGUGUUGCGGGGAAUUUGGACUGUUACUUUGAAAAAAUUAGAGUGUUUAAAGCAAGCUAACGCUUGAAUACAUUAGCAUGGAAUAAUGAAAUAGGACGUUCGAUCCUAUUUUGUUGGUUUCUAGGAUUGACGUAAUGAUUAAUAGGGAUAGUUGGGGGCAUUAGUAUUCAAUUGUCAGAGGUGAAAUUCUUGGAUUUAUUGAAGACUAACUACUGCGAAAGCAUUAGCCAAGGAUGUUUUCAUUAAUCAAGAACGAAAGUUAGGGGAUCGAAGACGAUCAGAUACCGUCGUAGUCUUAACCAUAAACUAUGCCGACUAGGGAUCGGAUGAUGUUAAUUUUUUAAUGACUCAUUCGGCGCCUUACGGGAAACCAAAGUGUUUGGGUUC
rnacentral:rRNA from 1 species